UUCUUUCACAAGUGGAAAUUUGCUCAUGUUACAUUCAGUAAGCUAGAAUACCUCCAAGAUUCAGAUAUUGUAAUGAACAGAUUCCAUAAACAGAGACCUGUUUAUGGAGGUUGGGAACAACACCUUGGAUUGGAGCAUACAGCCACUACCCCAAAAAGGUCCUACUUAGGCAACAACCAGAACCGCCAUUCUUUUGAGAAGCCUGUGAGGAUUUACAACUAAAGCUGGGAAUACUUUUUACAUGUGAUGAAUGAUGAACAGGAUAUGAAGGCAGCCUUGUUCCAAAAGCAGUCUUUUGGUGAUGUACAUGGAGCUUUUGCAUAGAGUAGUUUAUGUGGCAGUUAUCUCAAGAAUUUUCAUCUGGUGGAUGUACAGGGUUCGUAUAGCAACAUUUCCUUGUAGAAAGUUGAAGUUGUAUAUCGAGGGUGGAUUUACCUAUGUUUAUCUUUUCGACCCCAAGCCUCUGGGAAGCUGUGAACCAUAGCCUCAUGAAAUAUGCCUGCUAUUGAUUUAGUGUUUGUGUUUUUCUUGUUUGUCAUUA